AACGAACGCUGGCGGCAGGCCUAACACAUGCAAGUCGAACGCUCCAGCAAUGGAGAGUGGCAGACGGGUGAGUAACGCGUGGGAACCUUCCCUAUGGUUCGGAAUAGCCCAGGGAAACUUGGGGUAAUACCGGAUAAGCCCUUCGGGGGAAAGAUUUAUCGCCAUUGGAUGGGCCCGCGUCGGAUUAGCUAGUUGGUGGGGUAACGGCUGACCAAGGCGACGAUCCGUAGCUGGUCUGAGAGGAUGAUCAGCCACACUGGGACUGAGACACGGCCCAGACUCCUACGGGAGGCAGCAGUGGGGAAUAUUGGACAAUGGGCGCAAGCCUGAUCCAGCCAUGCCGCGUGAGUGACGAAGGCCUUAGGGUUGUAAAGCUCUUUUGGCGGGGAAGAUAAUGACGGUACCCGCAGAAUAAGCUCCGGCUAACUUCGUGCCAGCAGCCGCGGUAAGAC
rnacentral:rRNA from 1 species